UGAAUACGAGAUGCUACGGCGUCGAAGCAGUGUAUGUCAGACUUCCAAGAAAAGCUCGCAAUGUCAUAAAUAAAUAAUGCCUGUACCAUAACCGACACAGGUGGGUAGGUAGAGUAUACUAAGGGGCGCGAGAUAACUCUCUCUAAGGAACUCGGCAAAAUAACUCCGUAACUUCGGGAGAAGGAGUGCCUUAUUUAUAAGGUUGCAAUAACAAGAUCCAAGCAACUGUUUAUCAAAAACACAGGUCUCCGCUAAGUCGUAAGACGAUGUAUGGGGGCUGACGCCUGCCCAGUGCCAGAAGGUUAAAGAAGUUGGUUAGCAUUGCGAAGCUGAUGACUGAAGCCCUGGUGAACGGCGGCCGUAACAAUAACGGUCCUAAGGUAGCGAAAUUCCUUGUCGGGUAAGUUCCGACCCGCACGAAAGGCGUAAUGAUUUGGAUACUGUCUCGGAGAGGGACUCGGUGAAAUAGACUUGUCUGUGAAGAUGCGGACUACCUGCACCAGGACAGAAAGACCCUAUGAAGCUUUACUGUAACUUGAAAUUGAAAUUGGACUUUAUUUGCGCAGUAUAGGUGGGAGGCGUUGAAAAUAAUCUCGCGGGAUUAUUGGAGCCAUCAGUGAGAUACCACUCCUAUAAUGUUAGAUUUCUAACUUUGUAUCAUUAUCUGGUCAAAGAACAGUUUCAGGCGGGCAGUUUGACUGGGGCGGUCGCCUCCUAAAUGGUAACGGAGGCGUACAAAGGUUUCCUCUGAACGGGUAGAAAUCGUAUCUAGAGUAUAAAGGCAUAAGGAAGCUUGACUGUGAGACCCACAAGUCGAGCAGGGACGAAAGUCGGUCUUAGUGAUCUGACGGUGCUGAGUGGAAAGGCCGUCACUCAACGGAUAAAAGUUACUCUAGGAUAACAGGCUGAUCUCCCCCAAGAGUUCACAUCGACGGGGAGGUUUGGCACCUCGAUGUCGGCUCAUCGCAUCCUGGGGCGGUAGUACGUCCCAAGGGUUGGGCUGUUCGCCCAUGAAAGCGGUACGCGAGCUGGGUUCAGAACGUCGUGAGACAGUUCGGUCCAUAUCCGGUGUAGGCGUUAGAAUAUUGAGAGGAGCCUUCUUUAGUACGAGAGGACCGAGAAGGACAUACCUCUGGUGUACCAGUUAUCGUGCCAACGGUAAACGCUGGGUAGCUAUGUAUGGAGUGGAUAACCGCUGAAAGCAUCUAAGUGGGAAGCCCACCUCAAGAUGAGUAUUC
rnacentral:rRNA from 1 species